CCUACGGGAGGCAGCAGUGGGGAAUAUUGCACAAUGGAGGAAACCCUGAUGCAGCGACGCCGCGUGAGUGAAGAAGUAUCUCGGUGUGUAAAGCUCUAUCAGCAGAGAAGAAAAUGACGGUACCUGACUAAGAAGACCCGGCUAACUACGUGCCAGCAGCCGCGGUAAUACGUAGGGGGCAAGCGUUAUCCGGAUUUAAUGGGUGUAAAGGGAGCGUAGACGGCGCUGCAAGUCCGGAGUGAAAGCCCAUGGCUGAACCAUGGUACUGCUCUGGAAACUGAGGAGCGGGAUGGCGGGAGGGGCAGGCGGAAGUCCUAGUGGAGCGGUGAAAUGCGUAGAUAUUAGGAGGAACACCGGCGGCGAAGGCGGCCGGCUGGACCGUAACUGACGUGGAGGCUCGAAAGCGUGGGGAGCAAACAGGAUUAGAUACCCUUGUAGUC
rnacentral:rRNA from 1 species